GACGAACGCUGGCGGCGUGCCUAAUACAUGCAAGUUGAGCGCUGAAGGUUGGUACUUGUACCAACUGGAUGAGCAGCGAACGGGUGAGUAACGCGUGGGGAAUCUGCCUUUGAGCGGGGGACAACAUUUGGAAACGAAUGCUAAUACCGCAUAAAAACUUUAAACACAAGUUUUAAGUUUGAAAGAUGCAAUUGCAUCACUCAAAGAUGAUCCCGCGUUGUAUUAGCUAGUUGGUGAGGUAAAGGCUCACCAAGGCGAUGAUACAUAGCCGACCUGAGAGGGUGAUCGGCCACAUUGGGACUGAGACACGGCCCAAACGCCUACGGGAGGCAGCAGUAGGGAAUCUUCGGCAAUGGACGAAAGUCUGACCGAGCAACGCCGCGGGAGUGAAGAAGGUUUUCGGAUCGUAAAACUCUGUUGGUAGAGAAGAACGUUGGUGAGAGUGGAAAGCUCAUCAAGUGACGGUAACUACCCAAAAAGGGACGGCUAACUACGUG
rnacentral:rRNA from 1 species